rnacentral:rRNA from 1 species
AGCUCCAAUAGCGUAUAUUAAAGUUGUUGCAGUUAAAAAGCUCGUAGUUGGAUUUCUGGUAUGGUGCGCCUGGCCCACGGUUGCAAAACCGCGAGUGUCGGUGUGCGCCUGCCAUCUUUCUAGUUAACUGGACGCACUUAACUGGGCGGUCAGCGAUCUAGAUCUUUUACUUUGAAAAAAUUAGAGUGUUUAAAGCAGGCUUGCGCUAUGAAUACAUUAGCAUGGAAUAAUAAUUUAGGACUUUAUUCCUAUUU